rnacentral:misc_RNA from 1 species
ACUUGGAGUGUGCCGGACUUUUUCUGUUCAGCUCCUCUCAAAACGCAUAUGUGGAACCUUUGCUGAUCUGCUCCAGCGUGAUAAUUAUCUACGUUGCAAGCCGUGAAGCGGUUGGGAUCUGCCUACAACCGUCGACUUCUGUCGACAACACAACAUGACAAUUUGACCUCAAAUCAGGUAGGAUUACCCGCUGAACUUAA